GGUUAAGUUAGAAAGGGCGCACGGUGGAUGCCUUGACACUAGGAGUCGAUGAAGGACGGGACUAACGCCGAUAUGCUUCGGGGAGCUGUAAGUAAGCUUUGAUCCGAAGAUUUCCGAAUGGGGAAACCCACCAUACGUAAUGGUAUGGUAUCCUUAUCUGAAUACAUAGGGUAAGGAAGACAGACCCAGGGAACUGAAACAUCUAAGUACCUGGAGGAAGAGAAAGCAAAUGCGAUUUCCUGAGUAGCGGCGAGCGAAACGGAACAUAGCCCAAACCAAGAGGCUUGCCUCUUGGGGUUGUAGGACAUUCUAUACGGAGUUACAAAGGAACGAGGUAGACGAAGCGACCUGGAAAGGUCCGUCGUAGAGGGUAACAACCCCGUAGUCGAAACUUCGUUCUCUCUUGAAUGUAUCCUGAGUACGGCGGAACACGUGAAAUUCCGUCGGAAUCUGGGAGGACCAUCUCCCAAGGCUAAAUACUCCCUAGUGAUCGAUAGUGAACCAGUACCGUGAGGGAAAGGUGAAAAGCACCCCGGAAGGGGAGUGAAAGAGAUCCUGAAACCGUGUGCCUACAAAUAGUCAGAGCCCGUUAAUGGGUGAUGGCGUGCCUUUUGUAGAAUGAACCGGCGAGUUACGAUCCCGUGCGAGGUUAAGCUGAAGAGGCGGAGCCGCAGCGAAAGCGAGUCUGAAUAGGGCGUUUAGUACGUGGUCGUAGACCCGAAACCAGGUGAUCUACCCAUGUCCAGGGUGAAGUUCAGGUAACACUGAAUGGAGGCCCGAACCCACGCACGUUGAAAAGUGCGGGGAUGAGGUGUGGGUAGCGGAGAAAUUCCAAUCGAACCUGGAGAUAGCUGGUUCUCCCCGAAAUAGCUUUAGGGCUAGCCUUAAGUGUAAGAGUCUUGGAGGUAGAGCACUGAUUGGACUAGGGGUCCUCAUCGGAUUACCGAAUUCAGUCAAACUCCGAAUGCCAAUGACUUAUCCUUAGGAGUCAGACUGCGAGUGAUAAGAUCCGUAGUCAAAAGGGAAACAGCCCAGACCGCCAGCUAAGGUCCCAAAGUGUGUAUUAAGUGGAAAAGGAUGUGGAGUUGCUUAGACAACUAGGAUGUUGGCUUAGAAGCAGCCACCAUUUAAAGAGUGCGUAAUAGCUCACUAGUCGAGUGACUCUGCGCCGAAAAUGUACCGGGGCUAAAUACACCACCGAAGCUGCGGAUUGAUACCAAUGGUAUCAGUGGUAGGGGAGCGUUCUAAGGACAGUGAAGUCAGACCGUAAGGACUGGUGGAGUGCUUAGAAGUGAGAAUGCCGGUAUGAGUAGCGAAAGACGGGUGAGAAUCCCGUCCACCGAAUGCCUAAGGUUUCCUGAGGAAGGCUCGUCCGCUCAGGGUUAGUCAGGACCUAAGCCGAGGCCGACAGGCGUAGGCGAUGGACAACAGGUUGAUAUUCCUGUACCACCUCUUUAUCGUUUGAGCAAUGGAGGGACGCAGAAGGAUAGAAGAAGCGUGCGAUUGGUUGUGCACGUCCAAGCAGUUAGGCUGAUAAGUAGGCAAAUCCGCUUAUCGUGAAGGCUGAGCUGUGAUGGGGAAGCUCCUUAUGGAGCGAAGUCUUUGAUUCCCCGCUGCCAAGAAAAGCUUCUAGCGAGAUAAAAGGUGCCUGUACCGCAAACCGACACAGGUAGGCGAGGAGAGAAUCCUAAGGUGUGCGAGAGAACUCUGGUUAAGGAACUCGGCAAAAUGACCCCGUAACUUCGGGAGAAGGGGUGCUUUCUUAACGGAAAGCCGCAGUGAAUAGGCCCAAGCGACUGUUUAGCAAAAACACAGCUCUCUGCGAAGCCGUAAGGCGAAGUAUAGGGGGUGACACCUGCCCGGUGCUGGAAGGUUAAGGAGAGGGGUUAGCGUAAGCGAAGCUCUGAACUGAAGCCCCAGUAAACGGCGGCCGUAACUAUAACGGUCCUAAGGUAGCGAAAUUCCUUGUCGGGUAAGUUCCGACCCGCACGAAAGGUGUAACGAUUUGGGCACUGUCUCAACCAGAGACUCGGUGAAAUUAUAGUACCUGUGAAGAUGCAGGUUACCCGCGACAGGACGGAAAGACCCCGUGGAGCUUUACUGUAGCCUGAUAUUGAAUUUUGGUACAGUUUGUACAGGAUAGGCGGGAGCCUUUGAAACCGGAGCGCUAGCUUCGGUGGAGGCGCUGGUGGGAUACCGCCCUGACUGUAUUGAAAUUCUAACCUACGGGUCUUAUCGACCCGGGAGACAGUGUCAGGUGGGCAGUUUGACUGGGGCGGGCGCCUCCUAAAGUGUAACGGAGGCGCCCAAAGGUUCCCUCAGAAUGGUUGGAAAUCAUUCGUAGAGUGCAAAGGCAUAAGGGAGCUUGACUGCGAGACCUACAAGUCGAGCAGGGACGAAAGUCGGGCUUAGUGAUCCGGUGGUUCCGCAUGGAAGGGCCAUCGCUCAACGGAUAAAAGCUACCCCGGGGAUAACAGGCUUAUCUCCCCCAAGAGUCCACAUCGACGGGGAGGUUUGGCACCUCGAUGUCGGCUCAUCGCAUCCUGGGGCUGUAGUCGGUCCCAAGGGUUGGGCUGUUCGCCCAUUAAAGCGGUACGCGAGCUGGGUUCAGAACGUCGUGAGACAGUUCGGUCCCUAUCCGUCGUGGGCGUAGGAAAUUUGAGAGGAGCUGUCCUUAGUACGAGAGGACCGGGAUGGACGCACCGCUGGUGUACCAGUUGUUCUGCCAAGGGCAUAGCUGGGUAGCUAUGUGCGGAAGGGAUAAGUGCUGAAAGCAUCUAAGCAUGAAGCCCCCCUCAAGAUGAGAUUUCCCAUAGCGUAAGCUAGUAAGAUCCCUGAAAGAUGAUCAGGUUGAUAGGUUCGAGGUGGAAGCAUGGUGACAUGUGGAGCUGACGAAUACUAAUAGAUCGAGGACUUAACCAU
rnacentral:rRNA from 1 species